rnacentral:rRNA from 1 species
AGAGUUUGAUCCUGGCUCAGGACGAACGCUGGCGGCGCGCUUAACACAUGCAAGUCGAAUGGGUUCGGGGCUUCGGCUCCGGAUCAGUGGCGAACGGGUGCGUAGCACGUGAGCAACCUGCCCCUGUAUGGGGGAUAACCCUGGGAAACCGGGGCUAAUACCGCAUGCGCUCUAGGAGCUACCUGGCUUCUUGAGGAAAGUCCCUGAAAGGGGAUGUGCAGGGAGGGGCUCGCGGCGUAUCAGCUAGUUGGCGGGGUAACGGCCCACCAAGGCAACGACGCGUAGCCGGUCUGAGAGGACGACCGGCCACAUUGGGACUGAGAUACGGCCCAGACUCCUACGGGAGGCAGCAGUGGGGAAUUUUCCGCAAUGGGCGAAAGCCUGACGGAGCAAGACCGCGUGAGGGAGGAAGGCUCUUGGGUUGUAAACCUCUUUUGUCAGGGAAGAACACAAUGACGGUACCUGAAGAAUCAGCAUCGGCUAACUCCGUGCCAGCAGCCGCGGUAAUACGGAGGAUGCAAGCGUUAUCCGGAAUUAUUGGGCGUAAAGCGUCCGCAGGUGGCACUUCAAGUCUGCUGUCAAAGACCGGGGCUUAACCCUGGAAAGGCAGUGGAAACUGAGAAGCUAGAGUGCCGUAGGGGUAGAGGGAAUUCCCGGUGUAGCGGUGAAAUGCGUAGAGAUCGGGAAGAACAUCGGUGGCGAAAGCGCUCUACUGGACGGCAACUGACACUCAGGGACGAAAGCUAGGGGAGCGAAUGGGAUUAGAUACCCCCGUAGUCC